ensembl:lncRNA
UCCAAUACACUUAACUGCUAUAUAAAAAAAAAAAAUAUAUAUAUAUAGUAUAUAAUGUUUUUCCAUGUUAAUUUCUGUGUGUGUAACAAACGGCCUACACACACACACACCGCGGCCCAGGCCAUCUGUAAGUGCUGAGGCCAAGCCUUGGCCUAAUGGUCUGGGACCGCAGUCAACUCUGCUUAGCCGGCACAAACGCGCAAGCACGUUGAACCGGCACCAGACACACACAACAACACGCGUGAUUAUGCACAUGCACGCACGCACACACACACACGCACCCAGGAACUUGCUAGCCCGCUUCCUCCUGCAUGAAUGCUUGGCUGAUCAUGUGACAUCCGUGGACCACAGCAGGCGACGGCGGCCGUGUGGUCGAUAUUCAUCGGUGCUGGUUGACAGUGUUGUUGACUCUGUCUAGGGAACAUUGAGAGACACCCGACUUGUUGUUUUCAGCAUUAAGCAUGUGCGUGUGUGUGUGUGUGUGUGACACUAUUGUGGAGAGAGAGAAAAAGAACAAGAGAGAGAAAGACAAUUAUAGAGACAAAUAUAGGGACAGAGCGACAGCUUUGGAGCUGUCCCUCUAUGCUGUCUCUCUGUGAAGAGCAAGGGGGAGGGAGAGAGUUAGCUUGAUGUGAAAUGAAAGUGAUAAUGCUAAUGACAUAUAUCUAUGUUCAUCAUUGCACAAUUUGGGGGAAACUGUCUAAACACAUUACAUGUAUCUCCAUUAGGUUUAGACAAAACUGUGUGGAUUUCUGUAUUUAACUGCACUCUUGUACGACACAAAGUAAGCUUGCUUUAUAAGAGAUCUAAACUAAAUUCCUGUUAAUUCCCAUUAUCUUCUCCAGCAGUCAAUCAACCCUCAGCAUCUUCACUGACUGUGGGUAACAGCAGGCCCCCGUCCGGACAUCUGUAUAAUGCUGGUCAACUUCUGGUCCCUGGCCAAACUCGCUAAUGAACUACUUUAGACUAGAAGAGUGUUGCCAUGGAGAAAGGGAGAAAUGGACGGAGGGAGGGGGGAGAGAGGGAGCAAGGUCUCAUCAAACAAAACACCAAUGAUUAGCAGGAAUUAGCCUAAAUCAGUUAUCAAUGAUUUCUGCUCACUAGGAUGCUUUUAAGUUGCUGUUUAUUUUGCUCUGACCUGAUAAGCUAAAGACUGUUAUUAAAAUAACCUUGUAUGCAAAGUUCAGGCAUUCAUUCUCUUUAGUGGAUAAAUGCCUGAACUUUGGACGGAAGCAGGCCCCUGCUGUGAAUAAUUGGGAACAAAGUUGUGCAACCGAUUUACCUGUAGGCUGCUGGAGAUUCUAAAUCGUAAAAGAAAGAAAGAAAGCAUAAAUAUAAAUAAACCAAAAUGGCAAAUUGGCCUAUUGUAAUUUUAUGUUAGAAUCUGUCAGCGAAUGUGGACGUUAUUGUAUAUAUAUUAGGUAAUGAAUAACAAAAAAUGAUAAUCUAUCCUAAAUGUCAUUGUAACUUUUAUGGAAAUAUAGGCUAUUGUUUGGUUCCAUAAAAACACAAUCCACUCCCUGUCUGUACUUUUUGUUUCACCAACUUCCUCAAUCUUUUUUGCCAGAACUGAAAACCUACUAACAAACUUGCAUUGUGUUCUUUCAAGGUAGAUUCAGUUUGACCUCCUCAGAGACUAAACAGAAGUACAGAUGCAACACAAAUAUGUCGGUUGGUUUGUCCAUAAUGCACUGGACGAGUGCAAGCCCAUUUCUCUUUAAAACAAUCUAUGUUUUUACAAUAGGUCAAUCAAAAGUCUUAAGGUUUUAAAGUGAAUUGCAAAAUGCUGGGUAUUUGGGCUAAACAAGGUGAAGUGAAAUAGUCUAUAUAACUUAAAAAAAUUCCAAAGGUGUUA